rnacentral:rRNA from 1 species
UCUCACGCGUUGUUCGGAUUCAUUGGGCGUAAAGGGUGCGUAGGCGGCGCGGUAAGUCGGGUGUGAAAUCUGGGAGCUUAACUCCGAAACUGCAUUCGAUACUGCCGUGCUUGAGGACUGGAGAGGAGACUGGAAUUUACGGUGUAGCGGUGAAAUGCGUAGAUAUCGUAAGGAAGACCAGUGGCGAAGGCGGGUCUCUGGACAGUUCCUGACGCUGAGGCACGAAGGUCAGGGGAGCAAACGGG